UGAGGAAUAUUGCGCAAUGAGCGAAAGCUAGACGCAGCAACGCCGCGUGGACGAUGAAGGCCUUCGGGUCGUAAAGUCCUUUUCAGAGGGACGAGUGAGGACGGUACCUCUGGAAUAAGUCACGGCUAACUACGUGCCAGCAGCCGCGGUAAAACGUAGGUGGCGAGCGUUAUCCGGAUUCACUGGGCAUAAAGCGCCUGCAGGCGGUCUCGUAAGUGGGAUGUGAAAUCUCCUGGCUUAACUGGGAGGGGCCAUUCCAUACUGCGAGGCUUGAGGGCAGAAGAGGGAAGCGGAAUUCCCGGUGUAGUGGUGAAAUGCGUAGAUAUCGGGAGGAACACCAGUGGCGAAGGCGGCUUCCUGGCCUGCUCCUGACGCUAAGAGGCGAAAGCUAGGGGAGCGAACGGGAUUAGAAACCCCGGUAGUCCUAGCUAUAAACGAUGGAUACUGGGUGUCGGUGGUCCUAACCCCAUCGGUGCCGAAGCUAACGCGUUAAGUAUCCCGCCUGGGGACUACGGCCGCAAGGUUA
rnacentral:rRNA from 1 species